rnacentral:rRNA from 1 species
AUACAGAGGGUGCAAGCGUUAUUCGGAAUUACUGGGCGUAAAGCGCGCGUAGGCGGAUGAUUAAGUCAGUUGUGAGAGCCCUGGGCUCAACCUAGGAACUGCAUCUGAUACUGGUCGUCUAGAGUUUAAGAGAGGGAAGUGGAAUUCCAGGUGUAGCAGUGAAAUGCGUAGAUAUCUGGAGGAACAUCAGUGGCGAAGGCGACUUCCUGGCUUAAAACUGACGCUGAGGUGCGAAAGCGUGGGUAGCGAACGGGAUUAGAAACCCUAGUAGUCC